GACGAACGCUGGCGGCGUGCUUAACACAUGCAAGUCGAGGGCUCUGGGGGAGCAAUCCUCCGGGGACCGGCGAACGGGUGCGUAACACGUGAGCGACCUGCCUGACUGCGGGGGAUAGCCGGCCCAACGGCCGGGUAACACCGCGUACGCUUUCGGAGCUGCAUGGUUCUGAGAGGAAACGAGCCUGGGGGGAACCCUGGGCUCGGCAGACAGAGGGGCUCGCGGCCUAUCAGCNGGUUGGCGGGGUAAUGGCCCACCAAGGCGAUGACGGGUAGCUGGUCUGAGAGGAUGGCCAGCCACAUUGGGACUGAGAGACGGCCCAGACUCCUACGGGAGGCAGCAGUGGGGAAUCUUGCGCAAUGGUCGAAAGACUGACGCAGCGACGCCGCGUGCGGGAGGACGCCUCGGUGUACG
rnacentral:rRNA from 1 species